UACGAAGGGGGCUAGCGUUGUUCGGAAUCACUGGGCGUAAAGCGCACGUAGGCGGAUUGUUAAGUCAGGGGUGAAAUCCCGGGGCUCAACCCCGGAACUGCCUUUGAUACUGAUAGUCUCGAGUCCGGAAGAGGUGAGUGGAAUUCCGAGUGUAGAGGUGAAAUUCGUAGAUAUUCGGAGGAACACCAGUGGCGAAGGCGGCUCACUGGUCCGGUACUGACGCUGAGGUGCGAAAGCGUGGGGAGCAAACAGG
rnacentral:rRNA from 1 species